UACGUAGGGGGCUAGCGUUAUCCGGAAUUACUGGGCGUAAAGGGUGCGUAGGUGGUUUCUUAAGUCAGAGGUGAAAGGCUACGGCUCAACCGUAGUAAGCCUUUGAAACUGGGGAACUUGAGUGCAGGAGAGGAGAGUGGAAUUCCUAGUGUAGCGGUGAAAUGCGUAGAUAUUAGGAGGAACACCAGUUGCGAAGGCGGCUCUCUGGACUGUAACUAACACUGGGGCACGAAAGCGUGGGGAGCAAACAGG
rnacentral:rRNA from 1 species